rnacentral:lncRNA from 1 species
AAGACCCUCUUCAUCUUCUCGUAGCCUUCCUAUCCCUAACUUUCUUCUCUCAUUGUCUUCCUUAAUUCUCUUCCUAGACUCUUGUCCUAAAAUCAGAUUUGUCCUUAUAAUUUUGGACUUAUCCUAAUAAGAGAAGAAAGAGACUAAUUGGAUAAUAGAGAGAGGAUGUUAGAAAGAAAGGAGGAAUUGAAAAUCUGAAUGAAUCCAAUCCCCCAGCGCACCUCCUUUUAAAUACUUAGCGACGGGUUGCCUUCAAAAAUUAUUCACGCCCCUUCCACGGACCAUCUCGCAUCUAUCAAAAAAUUUCAUACCUCCUGAUGAAUUAUCAUGCCCAUCUAAAAGAUUUUGAUACAUGACAAUCAUCGAAAAAAAAUCCAAGAGAUGCUUCGCGCAGAAGGAUUCUUCGAAAUAUUUUCCUCGAUGAUUCUCCGAUGCGUCGUACAGCUUCCUAUGGCAUAAUUUUUUGCCACCACCCAUCAGUGCAAUUUUAUCCAUCUGAUAGCCAAAAAUGAAGGUGCUAAUAUUAGAAUGGCAUGAAAAAAAUCUCAGAUUAAGAAGUGGCAUGACAAAUGGGUUAGAGUCCUUCAUAAGUUGGACUGUUGGACAGAUGCAUGGAUCAAACUGAUAGAAUUUUCAACUUCGAUGAAUUUUCACGUUUAAAUUAGAAAGAAUUUUAACUUUAAAAAAAUUAUUUAUGUAUAAAAUUAAGUUAAAAAUUUCUCAAAAAUUUAUUUUAUUAUGAAACAUUGGAUA